UCCGGUGGUGAUAGCGAGAGGGAAACGCCCGGUGAGAUUCCGAACCCGGAAGCUAAGCCUCUCAGCGCCGAUGGUACUGCAAGGGGGACCUUGUGGGAGAGUAGGACGCCGCCGGAC
rnacentral:rRNA from 12 species